ensembl:lncRNA
GAAUUACUGAGUCACGGCCUGAACCAAUGAUUGAGCACCUGGAGAAGGUGGAGAAGCCCUGGGAGCACAGCUGAAAGCAAUUCACCCGUGUGACUGGAAGGUUCCACCCCUCCAUGAGCCUCGUUUAAGGGCUGGCUGCCACAGGGGGAGGUUCUCUACCUGGAGAUCCCUUCUUUUGGAGAUUUUUAGUGAGCCUUGAGACAGGUGACAAGCAGCUGGGGAACUGAAUGACAGUGAUCAUAGAACAAAUGGUCAUACUGACAAGAUAGAUCAUGGAGUUAUUUUUCUUUUUGCUGUGGAUUGUCCAUGUUUCCAGGAAAUAUUCACAAGAAUGAAGCCAUCAAAUCUGCCAUUUCCUCAUGGUUUCCAGAGGCUCCUCGCUGUCCUUUAGCUGUUAAUAUCCCAUUCAAGAAAGGAGUCUCCAAGAAAGAUGGGAUAGAAAAUGAAUGCAGUCCAGAACUCUAAUUUUUGGAGGAUUGCUGGGUGGUGUGAUUGAUAUCAUGCUUUAUCACUUCUCCUUAGUUCUGCAUCUCACCUGAGGGGAGCAGGGCACAGGAAGGAGAGGUCUUCUCUUCACAGUAAUAUUAAAAACAUUCACAAAGUGUAUGUUAGUGCUUACAGGGCUCUACUGAACUGGGAGGAGUAGCACUACUUCUGCAGUAUUUUUUUAAAGUUUAUAGAUGGGUGUAUUGCAAAGGAGAGCUGAUUUCAUUCCUUGCUUUGGUACAGCUUUGCUGUGUGACCUUGGGCAAGCCACUUAACACCUGUGUUUCCUUAUUCCCUGCUGUGUAAAAUAUUGCUGAUGCUUAUCUAGAUUAAAAAAGAGCAGCGAGGCGAUGUUCAUUAAUUAUUGUUGGAGAGUGUUCUGAGAUCCAAUCCAAUAGAAGCAUAGGAUACAAUACUUUGCCCUUCUAGAAUACAUUCAUUUGAGGAGAGUAAAGCAUUAUAUCUUUUACUUUAUGUGAAAAGAAAGAACAUUAAAACACCGC